rnacentral:lncRNA from 1 species
GGCCAGGAUAAUCCAUGAGAUGGAUUUGAAAGGUUGAAAUAUAAUGUGGAUGACUUAAUUAGGGUUGACAGUUAAACUCUAAGUCAUCUUGAAUAUUUAGGUCAAAGGGAUGAAUUAUACGAUAAUCAUACAUCAGUAGGUUCUAAAAGGUUACUUUGCAAUACUUCAAUCCAUCCAAUCGUCGGGUCAUCAUUGCUAGAUGGUUACAUCGAUUG